rnacentral:piRNA from 1 species
CAUGUCACUGUUGGAGCCCUCAGACUGAAA